CACGUAGGGUGCGAGCGUUGUCCGGAAUUAUUGGGCGUAAAGAGCUCGUAGGCGGUGUGUCGCGUCGGCCGUGAAAACCUGCAGCUUAACUGUGGGCUUGCGGUCGAUACGGGCAUCACUGGAGUUCGGCAGGGGAGACUGGAAUUCCUGGUGUAGCGGUGAAAUGCGCAGAUAUCAAGGAGGAACACCGGUGGCGAAGGCGGGUCUCUGGGCCGAUACUGACGCUGAGGAGCGAAAGCGUGGGGAGCGAACAGG
rnacentral:rRNA from 1 species